rnacentral:piRNA from 1 species
UAUCAAUGGAAGGUGUAGCUCUUUUCUCUC